rnacentral:rRNA from 1 species
CGGGCCUAACACAUGCAAGUCGAGCGAGGCCUUGGGGGGGCAACCCCUGGGGUUGCGCGGCGAACGGGUGAGUAACACAUCGGAACGUAUCCACUAGUGGGGGACAACCAGUCGAAAGAUUGGCUAAUACCGCAUACGCUGGACACAGGAAAGCGGGGGACCGGGGCGACCUGGCCUCGGCGCUAGCGGCGCGGCCGAUGUCCGAUUAGCUAGUUGGUGGGGUAAGAGCCCACCAAGGCGACGAUCGGUAGCGGGUCUGAGAGGAUGAUCCGCCACACUGGGACUGAGACACGGCCCAGACUCCUACGGGAGGCAGCAGUGGGGAAUUUUGGCCAAUGGGGGAAACCCUGAUCCAGCCAUGCCGCGUGAGUGAAGAAGGCCUUCGGGUUGUAAAGCUCUUUCGGCCGGGACGAAAUCGGGCGAGUGUAUAGCUUUCCUGGAUGACGGUACCGGAAGAAGAAGCCCCGGCUAACUACGUGCCAGCA